AUAUUGCCUCCUCUAAUAUUAUAUAAAUUAUGUUCUUUCAUCCUGUAUUUCAUAGGAGUAAUACAAUUGAAACCCGGUAUAAUGAUGAGGUUCAUGGAAUCACAUGUUAUGGUUGUGAGUAUAAGUUUUGUGUUGUUGUUUGUGGCUCAUCAGUGUACAAGAAAUGAACUUAGUCAUAUGGAAGCAUUUGGGGUUCCAACUCCAAAAGAUUGUGUUCCAAGUUGUAAACAAACACCAGAUGCUAACUCGUAUAUUUGUUGCUGUAAAUACUAUGAUGAUCCGAUCACGUGUGAACAUGAUUGUCAAAGAAUAAAAAGUUGUAAGAUAUAAUUGUAACUGAUAUUAUUAAAGACUAUACAUAUAAUAAAGAUUAAAUAUAUCUUUACUUCA